rnacentral:rRNA from 1 species
GUAGGGAAUAUUGCGCAAUGGGGGAAACCCUGACGCAGCGACGCCGCGUGAGUGAUGAAGGCCUUCGGGUCGUAAAGCUCUGUUGCAGGGGAAUAAAAAAAUGAAGGUACCCUGUGAGGAAGGAUCGGCUAACUUCGUGCCAGCAGCCGCGGUAAGACGAGGGAUCCUAGCGUUGCUCGGAAUCAUUGGGCGUAAAGAGGGCGUAGGUGGCUUGGUAAGUCAGGUGUGAAAGCCCAGGGCUCAACCCUGGAAGUGCAUUUGAUACUGCUGAGCUUGAGUGUCGGAGAGGUUACCGGAAUACCUGGUGUAGUGGUGAAAUACGUAGAUAUCAGGUGGAACACCGGAGGCGAAGGCGGGUAACUGGACGAACACUGACACUGAGGCCCGAAAGCGUGGGGAUCAAACAGGAUUAGAUACCCCAGUAGUCC